AGAGUUUGAUCCUGGCUCAGGACGAACGCUGGCGGCGUGCCUAAUGCAUGCAAGUCGAGCGGGCUACGAUCUUCGGAUUGUAGCUUAGCGGCGAACGGGUGAGUAACACGUAGGUGAUCUACCCUUCAGAGGAGGACAACCUCAGGAAACUGAGGCUAAACCUUCAUACGUUCACUGGUAGGGAUACUGGUGAAGAAAGAGUUACCCCUAGAGGGUAGCUGCUGAAGGAUGAGCCUGCGGCCCAUCAGGUAGUUGGUGAGGUAACGGCUCACCAAGCCGAAGACGGGUAACCGGUCUGAGAGGAUGUCCGGUCACACUGGGACUGAGACACGGCCCAGACUCCUACGGGAGGCAGCAGCAGGGAAUCUUGGGCAAUGGGCGAAAGCCUGACCCAGCGACGCCGCGUGGAGGAAGAAGUCCUUCGGGGCGUAAACUCCUGGACUGGGGGACGAGUAAGGACGGUACCCCAGUAGAAAGGGACGGCUAACUACGUGCCAGCAGCCGCGGUAAAACGUAGGUCCCGAGCGUUGUUCGGAUUCACUGGGUGUAAAGGGCGCGUAGGUGGUUGUCUGUGUCUCAUGUGAAAACUCAGGGCUCAACUCUGAGAUUGCGUGGGAAACUAGGCAGCUAGAGGACGGUAGAGGGGAGUGGAAUUCCCGGUGUAGCGGUAAAAUGCGUAGAUAUCGGGAGGAACACCGGUGGCGAAGGCGGCUCUCUGGGCCGAUCCUGACGCUGAGGCGCGAAAGCUAGGGGAGCGAACCGGAUUAGAUACCCGGGUAGUCCUAGCCGUAAACGAUGGGUGCUAGGUGUUGGGGGGUAAAGACCCUUCAGUGCCGAAGCCAACGCGAUAAGCAUCCCACCUGGGGAGUACGGCCGCAAGGUUGAAACUCAAAUGAAUUGACGG
rnacentral:rRNA from 1 species